CGUACUGCACUCCUGAACAAUAUAAGGACUGUGCUGAACCUGCUCUGGCUGCUCUGUCAGCUGUUGAAGGCACAAACUGCAUCUGCAGGAGCCCGUGUAACAUGACUCGAUACAACAAAGAGCUUUCCAUGGUCAAGAUCCCUAGUAAAACUUCUGCACGCUAUCUGGAGAAGAAGUUCAACCGGUCAGAGAAGUACAUCACGGACAAUAUCCUUGUUCUGGAUGUGUUCUUUGAGGCUUUGAAUUAUGAGACCAUAGAGCAGAAGAAAGCAUACGAGGUGGCGGGUCUACUAGGUGAUAUUGGUGGUCAGAUGGGCUU